AGGAAUUUGAGAGCCAAAGUAAAGUGCAACUGGCCCCCCAGGCCCAGAGGGGCUAGCAGUGAGAACUGAAGAUGUUCCCUCUGGACCUUCCGGCCACAGCUCAUUGAUGGGACAUGUUCUCAGACAGUGUUAUCGAAGAGCUGGAGCUCCAGUGGGCAUCUUGGGCCCUGAGAUGACAUUGGGGAAAGAAAGUUUUCUGGAACAAGGUGACACUGUGGGCACAAAAACUAUCCCAACUCUAGACUUCUUGAGUGUAAAAGACAUAUCGACUUCUAUCUUGUUUAAGCCACUAUUACUACGAGAUUUUUU
rnacentral:lncRNA from 1 species